CCUACGGGAGGCAGCAGUGGGGAAUUUUGGACAAUGGGCGCAAGCCUGAUCCAGCAAUGCCGCGUGAGUGAAGAAGGCCUUCGGGUUGUAAAGCUCUUUUGUCAGGGAAGAAACGGCCGAGGCUAAUACCUUUGGCUAAUGACGGUACCUGAAGAAUAAGCACCGGCUAACUACGUGCCAGCAGCCGCGGUAAUACGUAGGGUGCAAGCGUUAAUCGGAAUUACUGGGCGUAAAGCGUGCGCAGGCGGUUUUGUAAGUCUGACGUGAAAUCCCCGGGCUCAACCUGGGAAUUGCGCUGGAGACUGCAAGGCUGGAGUCUGGCAGAGGGGGGUAGAAUUCCACGUGUAGCAGUGAAAUGCGUAGAGAUGUGGGGGGAACACCGAUGGCGAAGGCAGCCCCCUGGGUCAAGACUGACGCUCAUGCACGAAAGCGUGGGGAGCAAACAGGAUUAGAUACCCUGGUAGUCCACGCCCUAAACGAUGUCUACUAGUUGUCGGGUCUUAAUUGACUUGGUAACGCAGCUAACGCGUGAAGUAGACCGCCUGGGGAGUACGGUCGCAAGAUUAAAACUCAAAGAAUUGACGGCUGAGACGNGCGAGACGACGACGAGGGAGGAGG
rnacentral:rRNA from 1 species